rnacentral:rRNA from 1 species
AGGAAUUGGCGGGGGAGCACCACAACGGGUGGAGCUUGCGGUUUAAUUGGAUUCAACGCCGGAAAUCUUACCGGGACCGACAGCAAUAUGAAGGCCAGGCUGAAGACUUUGCCGGAUUAGCUGAGAGGUGGUGCAUGGCCGUCGUCAGUUCGUACUGUGAAGCAUCCUGUUAAGUCAGGCAACGAGCGAGACCCACGCCCGCAGUUGCCAGCGUACUCUCCGGAGUGACGGGUACACUGUGGGGACCGCCGCUGCUAAAGCGGAGGAAGGAAUGGGCAACGGUAGGUCAGUAUGCCCCGAAUAUCCCGGGCUACACGCGAGCUACAAUGGUUGGUACAAUGGGUAUCUACCCCGAAAGGGGACGGAAAUCUCCUAAAACCAAUCUUAGUUCGGAUUGAGGGCUGCAACUCGCCCUCAUGAAGCUGGAAUCCGUAGUAAUCGCGUUUCAACAGAACGCGGUGAAUACGUCCCUGCUCCUUGCACACACCGCCCGUC